rnacentral:rRNA from 1 species
UCGAGCGAGCGGAACCACAGAUUUACUUCGGUAAUGACGUUGGGAAAGCGAGCGGCGGAUGGGUGAGUAACACGUGGGGAACCUGCCCCUAAGUCUGGGAUACCAUUUGGAAACAGGUGCUAAUACCGGAUAAUAAAGCGGAUCGCAUGAUCAGCUUUUGAAAGGCGGCGUAAGCUGUCGCUAAGGGAUGGCCCCGCGGUGCAUUAGCUAGUUGGUAAGGUAACGGCUUACCAAGGCGACGAUGCAUAGCCGAGUUGAGAGACUGAUCGGCCACAUUGGGACUGAGACACGGCCCAAACUCCUACGGGAGGCAGCAGUAGGGAAUCUUCCACAAUGGACGCAAGUCUGAUGGAGCAACGCCGCGUGAGUGAAGAAGGUUUUCGGAUCGUAAAGCUCUGUUGUUGGUGAAGAAGGAUAGAGGUAGUAACUGGCCUUUAUUUGACGGUAAUCAACCAGAAAGUCACGGCUAACUACGUGCCAGCAGCCGCGGUAAUACGUAGGUGGCAAGCGUUGUCCGGAUUUAUUGGGCGUAAAGCGAGCGCAGGCGGAAAAAUAAGUCUAAUGUGAAAGCCCUCGGCUUAACCGAGGAACUGCAUCGGAAACUGUUUUUCUUGAGUGCAGAAGAGGAGAGUGGAACUCCAUGUGUAGCGGUGGAAUGCGUAGAUAUAUGGAAGAACACCAGUGGCGAAGGCGGCUCUCUGGUCUGCAACUGACGCUGAGGCUCGAAAGCAUGGGUAGCGAACAGGAUUAGAUACCCUGGUAGUCCAUGCCGUAAACGAUGAGUGCUAAGUGUUGGGAGGUUUCCGCCUCUCAGUGCUGCAGCUAACGCAUUAAGCACUCCGCCUGGGGAGUACGACCGCUAGGUUGAAACUCAAAGGAAUUGACGGG